CCUACGGGAGGCAGCAGUGGGGAAUUUUGCGCAAUGCUCGUAAGAGUGACGCAGCGACGCCGCGUGAAUGACGAAGGCCUUCGGGUCGUAAAGUUCUUUCGACAGGGAAGAAAAUGCCUAUAAGUAACUGUGUAUGUAUUGACGGUACCUGUAUAAGCAGCCCCGGCUAACUCCGUGCCAGCAGCCGCGGUAAUACGGAGGGGGCGAGCGUUGUUCGGAGUGACUGGGCGUAAAGAGCACGUAGGCGGUGUUGUAAGUCAUUAGUCAAAGACUAGAGCUCAACUUUAGUAAGGCUAGUGAUACUAUAAUACGAGAGUAUCAGAGAGGAUUGCAGAAUUCCAGGUGGAGCGGUGAAAUGCGUAGAUAGCAGGAGGAAUACCGUUAGCGAAGGCGGCAAUCUGGCUGGAAACUGACGCUGAGGUGCGAAAGCGUGGGUAGCAAACAGGAUUAGAUACCCCAGUAGUC
rnacentral:rRNA from 1 species